rnacentral:rRNA from 1 species
UACGUAGGGUGCGAGCGUUAUUCGGAAUUACUGGGCGUAAAGCGUGCGCAGGCGGUUUGCAAAGUCUGAUGUGAAAGCCCCGGGCUCAACCUGGGAACUGCAUUGGAAACUAACGGGCUCGAGUGUGGCAGAGGGGGGUGGAAUUCCACGUGUAGCAGUGAAAUGCGUAGAGAUGUGGAGGAACACCGAUGGCGAAGGCAGCCCCCUGGGCUAACACUGACGCUCAGGCACGAAAGCGUGGGGAGCAAACAGG